rnacentral:rRNA from 1 species
AUUGAACGCUGGCGGCAUGCCUUACACAUGCAAGUCGAACGGUAACGGGCCUUCGGGUGCCGACGAGUGGCGAACGGGUGAGUAAUGCAUCGGAACGUACCUUUCAGUGGGGGAUAACGUAGCGAAAGUUACGCUAAUACCGCAUAUUCUGUGAGCAGGAAAGCAGGGGAUCGCAAGACCUUGCGCUGAUUGAGCGGCCGAUGUCAGAUUAGCUAGUUGGUGAGGUAAAGGCUCACCAAGGCGACGAUCUGUAGCGGGUCUGAGAGGAUGAUCCGCCACACGGGAACUGAGGCACGGUCCAGACUCCUACGGGAGGCAGCAGUGGGGAAUUUUGGACAAUGGGGGCAACCCUGAUCCAGCCAUGCCGCGUGAGUGAAGAAGGCCUUCGGGUUGUAAAGCUCUUUCGGUCGGGAAGAAAUCGCAUGGGUUAAUACCCUGUGCGGAUGACGGUACCGGCAUAAGAAGCACCGGCUAACUACGUGCCAGCAGCCGCAGUAAAAC